rnacentral:rRNA from 1 species
CCUACGGGAGGCAGCAGUGAGGAAUAUUGGUCAAUGGCCGGAAGGCUGAACCAGCCAUGCCGCGUGAAGGUCAGUGCCCUAUGGGCGUUAAACUUCUUUUGUGCGGGAGCAAUAAUGGUCACGUGUGGCCAGACGAGAGUACCGUACGAAUAAGCAUCGGCUAACUCCGUUCCAGCAGCCGCGGUAAUACGGGGGAUGCAAGCGUUAUCCGGAUUUAUUGGGUUUAAAGGGUGCGUAGGCUGGGAGGUAAGUCAGCGGUGAAAUGCCCCCGCGCAACGGGGUGAAGUGCCAUUGAUACUGGCUGGCUGGAAUGCGCAUGCGGUGGGAGGAAUGUGUGGUGUAGCGGUGAAAUGCAUAGAUAUCACACAGAACACCGAUUGCGAAGGCAUCUCACGAGUCCGGGAUUGACGCUGAUGCACGAAAGCGUGGGUAUCAAACAGGAUUAGAUACCCCAGUAGUC